rnacentral:rRNA from 1 species
GACAGAGGCCUCAAGCGUUAGGCGGAAUCACUGGGCUUAAAGCGUGUGUAGGCGGACUUCUAAGUGCCUUGUGAAAUCCCACGGCUCAACCGUGGAACUGCUGGGCAUACUGGGAGUCUUGGGCCAUUCAGGGGCAACUGGAACAAGCGGUGGAGCGGUGAAAUGCGUAGAGAUCGGAAAGAACACCAACGGCGAAAGCACUCUGCUGGGCCGACACUGACACUGAGAGACGAAAGCUAGGGGAGCGAAUGGG